GAUGAAGAACGUAGCGAAAUGCGAUAAGUAGUGUGAAUUGCAGAAUUCAGUGAAUCAUCGAAUCUUUGAACGCACAUUGCGCCCCUUGGUAUUCCAUGGGGCAUGCCUGUUCGAGCGUCAUUUGUACCUUCAAGCUUUGCUUGGUGUUGGGUGUUUGUCCCGAGGGACUCUCCUUAAAGUAAUUGGCAGCCAGUGUUUGGUUUUGAAGCGCAGCACAAGUCGCGAUUCAAGGCUACACGCCCGCUUCCACAAGCCUUUUUUCACUUUUGACCUCGGAUCAGGUAGGGAUACCCGCUGAACUUAAGCAUAUCAAUAAGCGGAGGA
rnacentral:misc_RNA from 1 species